UUGCUCUGCUCCCUAUGCUAUGCUCGACUCGGCCCGGCUCCUCGUCGCUCGUCGGAUGGAUAUAGAACCCUUAGUUCGUAUUCCUCUCCCUGUCUGCUAGGAACCCCGCCGUGGUUCGUCUCGCAGCCGGCAAAUCCGACGACGACGUCAUCGUCGACGUCGUCGUCGUUGUCGUCUUUGCACUCGUCGUGCUCUUCACGAGACGUGUUUUUCGGAGUAUCAGUCUCUCAGUGAAUUUUCAAAGUGCCUAUCCUCACUUCGCAAGUGACAGGGUUAAUCUAGGUGGUCACGUGCUCGAGCAUCGCGACCACGUGCUAUAUACGAGCUUUACCUAUGAGGAUUGAAACAAACGGGGAAGUCGACGUUCGUCGUUUCUCUUAUCAGCGACGUCCUAUCGAGCUAUAUCGUGGUAACGAUAAAAAGGAGAUAUAACGGCCAUGAAACGGAGGGAAGCCGGAAAGACGAUAAUCAGGAGGGAACUGCAAAUAUUCUUAACUUGGGAAGAAUAUUCUUAACUUCGAGAAAUGAAUUUAUUCUUCGCGCAACUUCUGUUCCACGAUCGAGUUUAGCGAAAUAUCUCGCGCUUCGCGCUCGAGCAAGAAAUAAAUGUUCCAACUCACUGAGAGCUUUUAUCUUUCAACAAAAAACCCAUGAUCCUUAAGCGAUAACCACAGCGGACUCGCUAAUCCGCCAAUCAAAUUAAUUGGACUGCGUACUUCCGCGCGCUGAUGAAAAAUGCCGCCAAAAACAAGUCAGCUUCGGAACAUUAAUCAAGAAGAGGAUAAAAAGACAAAAUGUCACAACACGAAACUUCAGCUUGUAAAUUAAAAAAAAAUGAAUAUGCCUUAUUACAACUCUACACUAUAACACAUCUAGUACGACCAAUUGGCUAAAUAUGUAUGCAAAUAAAAUUAAUGUUUCAAGGAUCUUAACCCUUUAAAAAUGUUCUCGUCUCUCUCUAGAUGAAGGGAAAGUUAUUUAAAAUACAUCGCUCCGUUUAUUCUCGCUUGUCAUUAUUUAUUUCCCGGUAGCUACGUGCCUGGUCGGCUCCCCUUUCGCCGAUGUGAUCGUUUUAGAAUCCUCGGCGGCACCUGCCGUGCAACCUGGAGCAGCAUGUAAGUAUAUACGCAAGUAAGUAUACACUUAGUCCCCGUGUGCAGGCUGCGUGCGGAGAGGCCGCGGCUACGGUUAUUACACGCGUCACGCGGCGUUCCGUACGGUCACGCACCCUCCUUCUCCUUCCUUAGGAAGCCCCCGAUGAGGAGGAACCCUUAUCGUCACCCUCUAUCUUGUCAGACAAACGCAGCCCCAUUAAGCCACUUACGAUGUACCUAACACACGAACCACGAGUGAAAAGAGCCGCCGUCGUCUGUUCCGGAAAACAGAAUCUAUAUAUAUGUAUAUACACGCGAAAAUAUAAAUUUGCGCGAUGCA